rnacentral:rRNA from 1 species
CCAAUAGCGUAUAUUAAAGUUGUUGCAGUUAAAAAGCUCGUAGUUGAAUUUCGGGGCCAGUAGGUUGGUCGUGCCACUGGUAUGUACUGGCCUUACUGGUCCCUCCUUCUUGUAGAACCGUGAUGCCAUUAAUUUGGUGUUGCGGGGAAACAGGACUGUUACUUUGAAAAAAUUAGAGUGCUUAAAGCAGGCUCGCGCUUGAAUACAUUAGCAUGGAAUAACGGAAUAGGACGAUCGAACCUAUUUUGUUGGUUUCUAGGAUCGACGUAAUGAUUAAUAGGGAUAGUUGGGGGCAUUAGUAUUCAAUUGUCAGAGGUGAAAUUCUUGGAUUUAUUGAAGACUAACUACUGCGAAAGCAUUUGCCAAGGAUGUUUUCAUUAAUCAAGAACGAAAGUUAGGGGAUUGAAGACGAUCAGAUACCGUCGUAGUCUUAACCAUAAACUAUGCCGACUAGGGAUCGGAUGAAGUUAAUUUUUUAAUGACUCAUUCGGCGCCUUACG